CCGCAACACAAUAAUUUUGAUUGUCAUUCCAAGCAUGUGGAAGAUAUCAGGUAAAAUUUCGGAAUAAUAGCACGGUCGAAUUAGGAAAUUUUCUGACAUUCGAUGAAGCGUGGGAAAUUCCGGGUUUCAUUUAUUGGGAUGCUGAUCCUGGGUGUAUACACACGUUAAUAUUCCUCAAUAUUGAUCAUCCGAAUGAAUUCUUCCCCAAAAAACGUCAGUACCUUCAGUGGUGGUGGGGAAUAUCCCAGAGGCAAGGGUCGAAAAUGGGAGAAUAUUGUCCUCUUACUUGAUGCCUAUUCCUCCACCUGUUCAGUACGGUACCCAUAGGCUUUUGUUUCUUGCUUAUAAGCAGCCUAGGACCACAAUUGAGUUCUCUGAGCCAUUUUUGCCUGCUUUGCCUUUACCGAAAUCACGUGCAAACUGGAAGUUGGCAGAAUUCAUAAACACAUAUGAUUUGAUUGGACCAGUUGCGGGUAACUUUUAUCAAAUAAAUUGGCAGGAGGAGGGUAAUAAUUUAAAAGAUGAUAAAAGCCCAAAAAUCGAAAACAAAAUAUCUCUAUAACCUUCAGAAUAUUCUUUUUUUUUGUUUCCUUUGAAUUUAAGACAUAAAAUUCUAUACUGUGUUGUCGUUUCUGUUGAAACCGCUCAUACAGACCAGUCCGUAGGACCAAAGUAAAACAUGAAUGAAAGAAGGACAAAAAAUAAUUUGAAAAAUUUACUCAAACUGACACAAUCACAAAACACUUUGAUGGAGGAAGUGACUGAUUUUUUUUUUUUUUUUUUAAAAUUGCUCAUUUGUGGGCUACUUGAAGUAGUGAUUAAAAAAAAUUAUCCUCUAAUUUCAGAGGAAAUCAUUGGUGAGACGUGAAUAAUCGAUUACCGAUAUUUACUCAUUUGAAGCUGUGGUAACGGAUCGAUUAUUAAGGUGUUCGUUGCGAACACCUUGUUUAUCGAUCCUUUUCCAUUGAUUUAAAUGACAGAUCAAUCGAUAUAUAGAACAGCACGCCACGCCACUGGAGGAAGUAAUGUCGAGCCGCAAGCAGCUUGACAGCUGGAAAAAAUAUGACAUAAUUCUCUGUAAGGUUCGUUUGUUGAAGGGAUAUACAUUUUUGGCCAAAGUUACAUAUCGAUGGUGAAACUACCAAACCACGUAUCUCGGUUUGCGACGUUGCAGACUUCCUGUCAUACUUUAUUUUUUAAAUGAAAAACUACUUAACGUCCAGUCUUGAAAAUUUCUGUGAUUUUUCCUCUUCGUGCGUAGAAAAUUCUGUGAAAAUUUCAAGGAAUGAUAUUGAUUUGGUCUACUUCAAAAAAAUAAAAUGCGAACGUAGAUUUUUAAACAUAGCAAACGAGAUACGUGGUUUGGUAGUUUCACCGUCGAUAUUCUGAACGAUUACUUUUACGAAAGUAUGUCCGGGCAAAGUAUCAUUUUUUACUCUUAUUUCCGAAAAAGAAGAUUCACAGGGGCUCAAUCCACCGAAAAUGUCGACUGACUUAAAAUAGAUCUUUUCUUUUUUAUCCAAGUGUAGAGCCAAAAUAUCACGAAUUCAAAGGAACGUUGUGAAAAUUAAACAAGUCAAAAACAAGUAUGUUCAUAAGAUUUGAGUGACUCAUGGUAUUGUUUUUUUUCAAUUUAUUUGUGUAUGAUAUUUGAUUUUUUUGUGUAGAUAUUUAUAUUCAUGUAUUCAUUUUUUUUUCUUUUUCUUUUUCUUUUUCUUUUUCUUUCAUUCUUUUUUUUUUUUUUUAUAAUUGCGUCUUUUUCAGUUUUCAUUUGGGUCUAUUUCUGUUUUAAUUUAAGUCGAUGUUCAUGUUAUUUAUUUAUCUAUUUUAUUUUUUAUUUAUUUAUUUCUUCUUUUUUUUUUUUUUUUUCUUUCUUUUUUUUCUCUCUUUUUUCUACAAUUAUUUGUUAAAUUUAUUUUAAGUCUGAUCCGGCAGUUUAAUUGGGCAUCCCAAUUUGCCGGGCAGAUCAAUGUUGUUUUUAUUUUAUGUUUGAAUUUUUUUGAAUAAAAAUAUCUAUCUAUCUAUCUAUCUAUGGUUUCUUCCUAAUUUAUAUCGUCCAUUUUAAUGUCUCCCUUCUGAUUUUAUUCUAAAGCUACAAGAAUGUGCUGCGAUUUAUGGAUGACGUAGUGUAUCUUCGUAUUAAAGUCAAUUCUUAACACCAUGUAGAGAGUGAUUUUCCCGGGUGAAUCACGAUCUGACUGAUUUUCCCGGGUAAUUUGCGUAAGAGUUAGGAUUUGCUCGUGACAAAUACAUUUUCUUUGAAUUACAAGUUAGUUUCUGAUCGACAUGUUUCGCAGUUUCCCGUGCGAAGGAACGUAACUCUAUUUCAUAGUUGUCAAAAUCACUCACCCGAUUCAAUUUUUUUGAAAACGAAUCUGCAUAAUUUGUAUCGAAAAUUGGUCUGAUUAUUGCAUGAAAUCAGAGGAAAACUUAGAGAAAUUUUUAGUUCGAAAUGAUUCUCAAAAUUCUCCUGGUGAAAAUUCAAUUUUCGCGGACACUUCUGAAAACAUAGAAAUUUAGUUACGUUCUUUCGUGAAAGAAAUGACGAUUUGGACUUUAUUUUGCAAAUAGGAACUAUAAAAUCUGGCUCAUCCGAAAAAACACGUAUAAGCAUGAGGAAACUAAUGGUUCAUACCUUGUUUUUAUACCAAGCCAGAAUUUAUAUUUCCUAAUUUCAAAAUGUAGUCCAUUUAAGCACUGUUAGGUGCUAAAUCGUAAAAUCUAAAACGCAUCUGAAAGUUUUAAUGUAGCACCUAAC
rnacentral:lncRNA from 1 species